GUCUCGGUAGUGUAAGGGAUAAGAGCACGGUCCUCAAAAAGGACAUGUACGGGUUCGAGUCUCGUCCGAGACU
rfam:Haemonchus placei strain MHpl1 genome assembly, scaffold: HPLM_scaffold0005942